rnacentral:rRNA from 1 species
UGGGGAAUAUUGGACAAUGGGGGAAACCCUGAUCCAGCAAUGCCGCGUGAGUGAAGAAGGCCUUAGGGUUGUAAAGCUCUUUCAGCAGGGAAGAUAAUGACGGUACCUGCAGAAGAAGCCCCGGCUAACUCCGUGCCAGCAGCCGCGGUAAGACGGAGGGGGCUAGCGUUGUUCGGAAUUACUGGGCGUAAAGGGCGCGUAGGCGGUCCUUCAAGUUAGACGUGAAAGCCCUGGGCUUAACCUAGGAAUUGCGUUUAAUACUGGAGGGCUAGAGAUUGGUAGAGGGAAAUGGAAUUCCUAGUGUAGAGGUGAAAUUCGUAGAUAUUAGGAAGAACACCAGAGGCGAAGGCGGUUUCCUGGGCCAAAUCUGACGCUGAGGCGCGAAAGCGUGGGGAGCAAACAGG